UUUAAUGUAAUUUAUUUAUUAAAUUAUUAUGAGUUAUGGUCUUUAAAAUUAAAAAAUUUGGCGGUAUUUUAGUCUUUUUAGAGGAACCUGUUCUAUAAAUGAUAAUCCACGAUUUUAUGUACUUUUAUUAUUAAUUUGUAUAUCGUCGUUAUAAAAUAUUUUUUUAGGAUAUUAUUUAAAAUUUUUUUUAAAAAAUUAAUCAGAUCAAGGUGCAGUUUAUAUAAAAGUAGAAAUGGGUUACAAUAAAUUUAUUUUUGGAAUUUUAAUUUUAUAUUAAAAUGAAAAUGGAUUUAAAUGUAAUAUUAAUUUAUUAAUUAAUAUGAUUUUAGCUCUAAAAUAUGU
rnacentral:rRNA from 1 species